GUAGAUGCUCAUUCACCUCCUUAUGUUUGCGAAAGCUUCAUAAACCUCCGAAUGAUGCAGAGCCAAUUUACGGUGUCUAUUGUCCGAUUCUGAUGAUAGUGGUCUUGACCCUUCAUCAAGCUACGGGCGUAACGUUGAGUGAGACACCAAUCAGUUGUCCUAAGAUCUGAUUGUCCUUUUAGACACUUGCCUUUUGGCAGGUGUUUUUUU
rfam:Hafnia alvei FB1, complete genome.